CAGAGUUCAUGCCCUUCCGGGUAGUUCUCCCACCCUAUGUUAUCAUUACCUUUGUUGCUUUGGCGGGCCGCCAGGCCUUGGGUCAGGCUACCGGCUCCGGCUGGUAAGCGCCCGCCAGAGGACCCCAAACUCUGAAUGUUAGUGUUGUCUGAGUACUAUAUAAUAGUUA
rnacentral:misc_RNA from 1 species